rnacentral:tRNA from 1 species
GGGUCGUUAGCUCAGCUGGCAGAGCACCGGACUCUUAAUCCGGGUGCCAGGGUUCGAUCCCCUGACGACCCA